GACGAACGCUGGCGGCGCGCCUAACACAUGCAAGUCGAACGAGCGAGAGAGAGCUUGCUUUCUCGAGCGAGUGGCGAACGGGUGAGUAACGCGUGAGGAACCUGCCUCAAAGAGGGGGACAACAGUUGGAAACGACUGCUAAUACCGCAUAAGCCCACGGGUCGGCAUCGACCAGAGGGAAAAGGAGCAAUCCGCUUUGAGAUGGCCUCGCGUCCGAUUAGCUAGUUGGUGAGGUAACGGCCCACCAAGGCAACGAUCGGUAGCCGGACUGAGAGGUUGAACGGCCACAUUGGGACUGAGACACGGCCCAGACUCCUACGGGAGGCAGCAGUGGGGAAUAUUGCACAAUGGGGGAAACCCUGAUGCAGCGACGCCGCGUGGAGGAAGAAGGUCUUCGGAUUGUAAACUCCUGUUGUUGAGGAAGAUAAUGACGGUACUCAACAAGGAAGUGACGGCUAACUACGUGCCAGCAGCCGCGGUAAAACGUAGGUCACAAGCGUUGUCCGGAAUUACUGGGUGUAAAGGGAGCGCAGGCGGGAAGACAAGUUGGAAGUGAAAUCCAUGGGCUCAACCCAUGAACUGCUUUCAAAACUGUUUUUCUUGAGUAGUGCAGAGGUAGGCGGAAUUCCCGGUGUAGCGGUGGAAUGCGUAGAUAUCGGGAGGAACACCAGUGGCGAAGGCGGCCUACUGGGCACCAACUGACGCUGAGGCUCGAAAGUGUGGGUAGCAAACAGGAUUAGAUACCCUGGUAGUCCACACCGUAAACGAUGAUUACUAGGUGUUGGAGGAUUGACCCCUUCAGUGCCGCAGUUAACACAAUAAGUAAUCCACCUGGGGAGUACGACCGCAAGGUUGAAACUCAAAGGAAUUGACGGGGGCCCGCACAAGCAGUGGAGUAUGUGGUUUAAUUCGACGCAACGCGAAGAACCUUACCAAGUCUUGACAUCCCUUGACGAUGCUGGAAACAGUAUUCCUCUUCGGAGCAAGGAGACAGGUGGUGCAUGGUUGUCGUCAGCUCGUGUCGUGAGAUGUUGGGUUAAGUCCCGCAACGAGCGCAACCCUUAUGGUCAGUUACUACGCAAGAGGACUCUGGCCAGACUGCCGUUGACAAAACGGAGGAAGGUGGGGAUGACGUCAAAUCAUCAUGCCCUUUAUGACUUGGGCUACACACGUACUACAAUGGCGUUAAACAAAGAGAAGCAAGACCGCGAGGUGGAGCAAAACUCAGAAACAACGUCCCAGUUCGGACUGCAGGCUGCAACUCGCCUGCACGAAGUCGGAAUUGCUAGUAAUCGUGGAUCAGCAUGCCACGGUGAAUACGUUCCCGGGCCU
rnacentral:rRNA from 1 species